CAGUCGAACGAAACUUCUUUAUCACCGAGUGCUUGCACUCACCGAUAAAGAGUUGAGUGGCGAACGGGUGAGUAACACGUGGGCAACCUGCCCAAAAGAGGGGGAUAACACUUGGAAACAGGUGCUAAUACCGCAUAACCAUAGUUACCGCAUGGUAACUAUGUAAAAGGUGGCUAUACUACCGCUUUUGGAUGGGCCCGCGGCGCAUUAGCUAGUUGGUAGGGUAAAGGCUUACCAAGGCAAUGAUGCGUAGCCGAAUUGAGAGGUUGAUCGGCCACAUUGGGACUGAGACACGGCCCAAACUCCUACGGGAGGCAGCAGUAGGGAAUCUUCCACAAUGGGCGAAAGCCUGAUGGAGCAACGCCGCGUGGGUGAAGAAGGUCUUCGGAUCGUAAAACCCUGUUGUUAGAGAAGAAAGUGCGUGAGAGUAACUGUUCACGUUUCGACGGUAUCUAACCAGAAAGCCACGGCUAACUACGUGCCAGCAGCCGCGGUAAUACGUAGGUGGCAAGCGUUAUCCGGAUUUAUUGGGCGUAAAGGGAACGCAGGCGGUCUUUUAAGUCUGAUGUGAAAGCCUUCGGCUUAACCGGAGUAGUGCAUUGGAAACUGGGAGACUUGGGUGCAGAAGAGGAGAGUGGAACUCCAUGUGUAGCGGUGAAAUGCGUAGAUAUAUGGAAGAACACCAGUGGCGAAAGCGGCUCUCUGGUCUGUAACUGACGCUGAGGUUCGAAAGCGUGGGUAGCAAACAGGAUUAGAUACCCUGGUAGUCCACGCCGUANACGAUGAAUGCUAAGUGUUGGAGGGUNUCCGCCCUUCAGUGCUGCAGCUAACGCAAUA
rnacentral:rRNA from 1 species